CCUACGGGUGGCUGCAGUGAGGAAUAUUGGUCAAUGGGCGCAAGCCUGAACCAGCCAAGUCGCGUGAGGGAAGACGGCCCUACGGGUUGUAAACCUCUUUUGCCGGGGAGCAAGCCUGAGCACGUGUGCCUUUUUGUAUGUACUUUAUGAAUAAGGAUCGGCUAACUCCGUGCCAGCAGCCGCGGUAAUACGGAGGAUCCGAGCGUUAUCCGGAUUUAUUGGGUUUAAAGGGAGCGUAGAUGGGUUGUUAAGUCAGUUGUGAAAGUUUGCGGCUCAACCGUAAAAUUGCAAUUGAUACUGGCAGCCUUGAGUACAGUUGAGGUAGGCGGAAUUCGUGGUGUAGCGGUGAAAUGCUUAGAUAGCACGAAGAACUCCGAUUGCGAAGGCAGCCUACUAAACUGCCACUGACAUUGAUGCUCGAAAGUGUGGGUAUCAAACAGGAUUAGAUACCCGGGUAGUC
rnacentral:rRNA from 1 species